rnacentral:rRNA from 1 species
UACGUAGGGAGCAAGCGUUGUCCGGAAUCAUUGGGCGUAAAGCGCGCGUAGGCGGCCUUGUAAGUCCGUUGUGAAAGUCAAAGGCUCAACCUUUGAAAGCCGAUGGAUACUGCAGGGCUAGAGUCCGGAAGAGGCGAGUGGAAUUCCUGGUGUAGCGGUGGAAUGCGCAGAUAUCAGGAGGAACACCAAUAGCGAAGGCAGCUCGCUGGGACGGUACUGACGCUAAGGCGCGAAAGCGUGGGGAGCGAACGGG